UGUGAUGGGGAAGCUCCUUAUGGAGCGAAGUCUUUGAUUCCCCGCUGCCAAGAAAAGCUUCUAGCGAGAUAAAAGGUGCCUGUACCGCAAACCGACACAGGUAGGCGAGGAGAGAAUCCUAAGGUGUGCGAGAGAACUCUGGUUAAGGAACUCGGCAAAAUGACCCCGUAACUUCGGGAGAAGGGGUGCUUUCUUAACGGAAAGCCGCAGUGAAUAGGCCCAAGCGACUGUUUAGCAAAAACACAGCUCUCUGCGAAGCCGUAAGGCGAAGUAUAGGGGGUGACACCUGCCCGGUGCUGGAAGGUUAAGGAGAGGGGUUAGCGUAAGCGAAGCUCUGAACUGAAGCCCCAGUAAACGGCGGCCGUAACUAUAACGGUCCUAAGGUAGCGAAAUUCCUUGUCGGGUAAGUUCCGACCCGCACGAAAGGUGUAACGAUUUGGGCACUGUCUCAACCAGAGACUCGGUGAAAUUAUAGUACCUGUGAAGAUGCAGGUUACCCGCGACAGGACGGAAAGACCCCGUGGAGCUUUACUGUAGCCUGAUAUUGAAUUUUGGUACAGUUUGUACAGGAUAGGCGGGAGCCUUUGAAACCGGAGCGCUAGCUUCGGUGGAGGCGCUGGUGGGAUACCGCCCUGACUGUAUUGAAAUUCUAACCUACGGGUCUUAUCGACCCGGGAGACAGUGUCAGGUGGGCAGUUUGACUGGGGCGGUCGCCUCCUAAAGUGUAACGGAGGCGCCCAAAGGUUCCCUCAGAAUGGUUGGAAAUCAUUCGUAGAGUGCAAAGGCAUAAGGGAGCUUGACUGCGAGACCUACAAGUCGAGCAGGGACGAAAGUCGGGCUUAGUGAUCCGGUGGUUCCGCAUGGAAGGGCCAUCGCUCAACGGAUAAAAGCUACCCCGGGGAUAACAGGCUUAUCUCCCCCAAGAGUCCACAUCGACGGGGAGGUUUGGCACCUCGAUGUCGGCUCAUCGCAUCCUGGGGCUGUAGUCGGUCCCAAGGGUUGGGCUGUUCGCCCAUUAAAGCGGUACGCGAGCUGGGUUCAGAACGUCGUGAGACAGUUCGGUCCCUAUCCGUCGUGGGCGUAGGAAAUUUGAGAGGAGCUGUCCUUAGUACGAGAGGACCGGGAUGGACGCACCGCUGGUGUACCAGUUGUUCUGCCAAGGGCAUAGCUGGGUAGCUAUGUGCGGAAGGGAUAAGUGCUGAAAGCAUCUAAGCAUGAAGCCCCCCUCAAGAUGAGAUUUCCCAUAGCGUAAGCUAGUAAGAUCCCUGAAAGAUGAUCAGGUUGAUAGGUUCGAGGUGGAAGCAUGGUGACAUGUGGAGCUGACGAAUACUAAUAGAUCGAGGACUUAACCAUAUAA
rnacentral:rRNA from 1 species